UGCAAGAGCACUCUUGGCACUAUAACCACUACAGUGUGCUGUAGUGGUUAUGGUGCUUGGAGUGUUCCUUUA
rnacentral:miRNA from 1 species